rnacentral:rRNA from 1 species
UACGGAGGGUGCGAGCGUUGUCCGGAAUCACUGGGCGUAAAGGGCGCGUAGGCGGCGCGGGCAGUCAACGGUGAAAGCUCGGAGCUCAACUCCGAGUCGGCCGUCGAUACUCCCGUGCUUGAGCACUGUAGAGGCAGGUGGAAUUCCGGGUGUAGCGGUGGAAUGCGUAGAGAUCCGGAAGAACACCGGUGGUGUAGACGGCUUUCUGGACCGUAACUGACGCUGAGACACGAAAGCGUGGGUAGCAAACAGG